GAUGAACGCUGGCGGCGUGCCUAAUACAUGCAGGUCGAGCGAACAGACGAGGAGCUUGCUCCUCUGACGUUAGCGGCGGACGGGUGAGUAACACGUGGAUAACCUACCUAUAAGACUGGGAUAACUUCGGGAAACCGGAGCUAAUACCGGAUAAUAUAUUGAACCGCAUGGUUCAAUAGUGAAAGACGGUUUUGCUGUCACUUAUAGAUGGAUCCGCGCCGCAUUAGCUAGUUGGUAAGGUAACGGCUUACCAAGGCGACGAUGCGUAGCCGACCUGAGAGGGUGAUCGGCCACACUGGAACUGAGACACGGUCCAGACUCCUACGGGAGGGAGCAGUAGGGAAUCUUCCGCAAUGGGCGAAAGCCUGACGGAGCAACGCCGCGUGAGUGAUGAAGGUCUUCGGAUCGUAAAACUCUGUUAUUAGGGAAGAACAAAUGUGUAAGUAACUAUGCACGUCUUGACGGUACCUAAUCAGAAAGCCACGGCUAACUACGUG
rnacentral:rRNA from 1 species